GUGGGGAAUAUUGCACAAUGGGCGAAAGCCUGAUGCAGCAACGCCGCGUGAGGGACGACGGCCUUCGGGUUGUAAACCUCUUUUAGUAGGGAAGAAGCGAAAGUGACGGUACCUGCAGAAAAAGCACCGGCUAACUACGUGCCAGCAGCCGCGGUAAUACGUAGGGUGCAAGCGUUAUCCGGAAUUAUUGGGCGUAAAGAGCUCGUAGGCGGUCUGUCGCGUCUGCUGUGAAAACUGGAGGCUCAACCUCCAGCCUGCAGUGGGUACGGGCAGACUAGAGUGCGGUAGGGGAGAUUGGAAGUCCUGGUGUAGCGGUGGAAUGCGCAGAUAUCAGGAGGAACACCGAUGGCGAAGGCAGAUCUCUGGGCCGUAACUGACGCUGAGGAGCGAAAGCGUGGGGAGCGAACAGGAUUAGAAACACGUGUAGUCC
rnacentral:rRNA from 1 species